UUCAGGGUAUUUUAAGAAGCCAAUGUCUCAAUAUGAGUUUUGUAAAUUUAAGGUUGGUUC
rnacentral:tRNA from 1 species